CCUACGGGUGGCUGCAGUGAGGAAUAUUGGUCAAUGGGCGCGAGCCUGAACCAGCCAAGUAGCGUGAAGGAUGACUGCCCUACGGGUUGUAAACUUCUUUUAUAAAGGAAUAAAGUGAGGCACGUGAGCCUUGUUGUAUGUACAUUAUGAAUAAGGAGCGGCUAACUCCGUGCCAGCAGCCGCGGUAAAACGGAGGAGCCGAGCGUUAUCCGGAGUUAUUGGGGUUAAAGGGAGCGUAGAGGGGUUGUUAAGUCAGUUGUGAAAGUUUGCGGCGCAACCGUGACAUUGCGAUUGAGACGGGCAGUCUUGAGUGCAUUUGUGGUCGCCGGAAUUCGUGGUGUAGCGGUGAAAUGCUUAGCUAUCACGAAGCACUCCGAUUGCGACGGCAGCUUACUAAACUGCCACUGCCAUUGCUGCUCGCAAGUGUGGGUAUCAAACAGGAUUAGAUACCCGAGUAGUC
rnacentral:rRNA from 1 species